rnacentral:rRNA from 1 species
AAGCGCUUGCGACCAGACUCGGUCGCGGAGGCUCAGCCGGUCUUUGGCCGGUGCACUCCUCCGCGGCCGGGCCAGCAUCGGUUUGGGCGGCCGGACAAAGGCGGCGGGAAGGUGGCCCCUCGGGGUGUUAUAGCCCGCUGCACAAUACGGCCUGCCUGGACCGAGGAACGCGCAUCUGCUCGGAUGCUGGCGUAAUGGUUGCUAGCGG